AGAGUUUGAUCCUGGCUCAGAACGAACGCUGGCGGCAGGCCUAACACAUGCAAGUCGAACGCACUCUUCGGAGUGAGUGGCAGACGGGUGAGUAACGCGUGGGAAUCUACCUAGUGGUGGGGGAUAACUUCGGGAAACCGGAGCUAAUACCCCAUAAGCCCUUCGGGGGAAAGAUUUAUCGCCACUAGAUGAGCCCGCGUUAGAUUAGCUUGUUGGUAGGGUAAUGGCCUACCAAGGCAACGAUCUAUAGCUGGUCUGAGAGGAUGAUCAGCCACACUGGAACUGAGACACGGUCCAGACUCCUACGGGAGGCAGCAGUGGGGAAUAUUGCACAAUGGGCGCAAGCCUGAUGCAGCCAUGCCGCGUGAGUGAUGAAGGCCUUAGGGUUGUAAAACUCUUUCAUCGGUGAAGAUAAUGACGGUAGCCGAAGAAGAAGUCCCGGCUAACUCCGUGCCAGCAGCCGCGGUAAUACGGAGGGGACUAGCGUUGUUCGGAAUUACUGGGCGCAAAGCGCGCGUAGGCGGGCUGGUCAGUUGGGGGUGAAAUCCCGAGGCUUAACCUCGGAACUGCCUUCAAUACUGCCAGUCUUGAGUUCGGAAGAGGUGAGUGGAAUUCCUAGUGUAGAGGUGAAAUUCGUAGAUAUUAGGAAGAACACCAGUGGCGAAGGCGGCUCACUGGUCCGAUACUGACGCUGAGGUGCGAAAGCGUGGGGAGC
rnacentral:rRNA from 1 species